rnacentral:tRNA from 1 species
GUGGAUAUAGUUUAGUGGUAGAACAUUGGUUUGUGGCACCAAUAGUGUGGGUUCGAUUCCCGCUAUCCACC